UACGUAGGGUGCAAGCGUUGUCCGGAAUUAUUGGGCGUAAAGAGCGUGUAGGCGGCCCGACAAGUCCGCUGUGAAAGUCCAGGGCUCAACCCUGGAAUGCCGGUGGAUACUGUCGGGCUAGAGUCCGGAAGGGGCGAGUGGAAUUCCUGGUGUAGCGGUGAAAUGCGCAGAUAUCAGGAGGAACACCAAUUGCGAAGGCAGCUCGCUGGGACGUUACUGACGCUGAGACGCGAAAGCGUGGGGAGCAAACAGG
rnacentral:rRNA from 1 species